CCCUUAGAUGUUCUGGGCUGCACGCGCGCUACACUGAAGCGUUCAACGAGUAUUCACCUUGCCCGGGAGGGUUGGGUAAUCUUUUGAAAACGCUUCGUGAUGGGGAUAGAUUAUUGCAAUUAUUAAUCUUCAACGAGGAAUUCCUAGUAAGCGCGAGUCAUCAGCUCGUGCUGAUUACGUCCCUGCCCUUUGUACACACCGCCCGUCGCACCUACCGAUUGAAUGGUCCGGUGAAAUCUUCGGAUCUGAGAGAUGUCUGAUUAAUUUCGGACGCCUUUUGGAAAAGUUGCUUAAACCUUACCAUUUAGAGGAAGGUGAAGUCGUAACA
rnacentral:rRNA from 1 species